GCCCCGAGCGCCCUCUGCCGGCCCCGGAGGGCGGCGUAAGUCAGUCUGAACCAAAAAAAGGAAUCAAAAAAGCCUCAAACCCCACCAAAUCCUCAGUACCCCAAGCCUAUGGCAGGACUUCUGAGCAAGAGCCUCGGGGGUACUGAGGUUUCUACCGGAGCGGUUUAAAGUCUGCAUAGGUAAAAGAAGUUGGUGGGGAGUGUGAGCUGGGGCUUUGGAUAUCCGGGUUAUUCUUCUCCCUCCAGACGAAAUCUUCAGAAUUAAAGUACGCCGGGGAGGACCGUGCAAAUAUUGUGGAAGAAAGUCCCCGUACUGAAAGCAGGUGCAAAAUUAAGCAUUUAGAGUAGAAGAAAUGAAUUGUCAGAGGAACAAAAAAGGGCAAUUCAAAGUGCCUUCAUAUCAGAGAUUAGCGGAGAGACUGAAAGACAACCCACUUACACAAUACAGAUCCGAGUGCAGUGUUUUACAUAUUUCCAGUAUGGGCAGGAGCAACUGGAUUGAUGAGAUCUGUAUGCAUCCAGUGCACCGUUUGUGAGUAGCUUUGUUAAACUCUAAGUCAAACAAUGAUUUGUUAGUGUUUGAAUUUCAAAUGUUGAUUGGUCUUAGCUUAAAAAGACAAUUGAGCAUUCAUCACAUACCUGUCUGGUAAAAAUAUAGUAUUAGAAGAAAAACUUAUUAUUAGCUUGCUGUAUUUGCAAUGGUAUUUCACUCCAAAGCAAAAGUAGAUACUAUGGCACAAGAGAAGAUAAUAGAGCUAUAAUUCACUUUUGGCUUCAUUCAUAUGAAUGAAGUUGCAAAUUAUUAUUGAAUGUAGUGCAGAAGUAAAAUGUAGGAAGGAAGUUCCACAGUGAGCAUAAAUUAUCAUAAUGCCAUUGAGUAGAAAUUCAAAUGCAAUGCACAAAGAUAAGGCAAAGAAGAUAAAAGUAGAUGAUGUGGCCUGAGAAAAACUCCUCUAUAGUGCUUAUAUAUUUAUGUAUCCCUUUGUAUUACAAAAAAUGGUUUGCUAGGGAUGCUUUUUCUUUACUACAGGUGAAAAUAAUUUCAAAAUUGGUCUAUUUCAGUUAAAGGGUUGAAUAAAAUCUAGAUAUUGUACAUUUAAUUAGAUAAAAUAUGUCAGCUUCAUUCUUGGACUCUCACAUAGAAAUAACCAGCGAAAUUCAGAUUUUCGGCCAGACAACUGUAGCAGCAGAUAAAUCUAUAAACAUUCUGAUUUAAAUUGCUUAAGUUUGGUGUUUUUUCUCCAGAAAUCCAUUUGCAUUACUUGUUUUGUCUCUGUCAGACAUGUAGCAUUACUAAAGAGGCAAACCUAUUUCUCAGCUUUCUCUUACUGGACUUUCUUGAGCCUUAUAGAGAAUUUGGAUGCAUUGUGGCUGGUAAUGCUGAAUGGCCCAGUGCCUGCAUCUCUACUGUUUCUGUCCCUUCCUUUCCUGAUUUAAUGUUCAUCCUAAGACUUUCAUCUGACAGACUUUCAGAGCCUCACCAGGGAGUCCAGUGCAUAACAUUUCUGCUCUGGAAUAACAGAAAAAUGCAAAUAUAACAUUUACAUCUUUACCUCUUUUGGUGAUAGUAUAGAAAUGUAAUCUUCAUAUAUAAGUCUUGCUUUUUCUUCAAUAACUUUCUUGUUCUGUUCCUUUUUUAGAUCUUCACAUGCAAGCCAGAAAAGCAGGUUCUCCUCACUAUACUCCGUUCUAAGAAACUCUCUGAAAAGGUUCCUCCCAGCUGGUGUUUUCAUCAUCUUGUCAAAGUUCUGAGCCCAAGACAAAAUUUCAUCUGCAGUAGGGUUUUGGCUGAAAAAGAAAAUAUCAUUACAAAUAUGCUUCUAUUUUUGUAAUAAUGUUUUCAUACAUUCAUUCAAAAAUUCUUUCAACUGUACUUUAGUCCAAAGUUAGGAAAAAUGGAAGCAACAAAGCUUCAGCAAUAACAGGGCAAUUUUGUUUGCUCUUCACUUGUGCAUUCAUUAUCCUAAUAGCCCACUAAAUGUGUUUAAUGUUAUAAGACAUGCAUUUGACUUUUUAUGAGUUUUCUGCUGGUGUUCUUAGCCAUGUGGCUAAGAACAAAAAUCCUACAACAGCACUGAAUUCCCACCUCUGCAGUUAAAGGAGAUUCCAGGAAGCUGGAAACAGACUCUCUUUCGUGAAGAGUUUAGAUGACACCUGAUGUCCCUGCCUGCCUCUGAUGGUGACUGUACAUGAUUUGGUUUAGGAGGAAAAAGAAAAACAAAAAGCUCUUGGCAGCCAAAAGCAUACUAAUGAGGCUAAACAAAGUAGUAAUUCAGAGAGAUUUUAAAUUAGCAUAUUUCUCUGUGCUUGUACGUAAGGGUUGCUAAGCUUCCCUCUGUUUCAUGCUAUUGACCUGAAUUAUGAUCUUUUGGCAUGAGAUGUGAUGGAUUUUUCUGGCAAAACAGGAAAGAGAAGAAAUGGGGAAAAGUCCUUAUUUCCAUUUCCUGAAGGAAACUAUUUGUGGCUUUUGCCAGUGGAUGCACUGGGUAAGUGAUCAGAAGACCUACUGGCGUCACUAAUCCAUUAAUGUACCAAUGAACAGCUUAAGAAAGUAAUUCUCCAGAUUACCUAACAACAAUUUAAUAUAGUUUCAAACUUAAUUUUGAGCACUCACCCUCUCCUUCCUGAUCCAACACAAGAGCUUUACUAGCUGUUGUCAUUAGUGUCUGCGUUAUCAUGAUGCACAGUAAGUGACAUUUGUCUAUAUAAUUUCUGUUCAAGUCAAUUUAGCAACUCCUACUCUGUAUGCAAGGCAGACUGGAUGAUGGGAAGCUAUUUGUGAUAAAUCACAAAUUGUUUAACUGUAAAGUGAUUGUAAACUGAAUGGAAAAGUUUAAACACAGAUUUUAAGGUGAACAGUCCUCUCAGCACUUUGCACUCUCCACUGAGGAGAGUGCAAAGAACCUGCUGAGCUGAACGGGGCUGACAACCUGGGCUUCCUUAUUGUCUGUUGUGAAGCUCUUCACUAUUGUAUUUUGUAGAAAUUUACAAUAUUGUCUUCUCAUAAAAGACAAUGCUUAGCAAAAAGGGCAAUGAGUUGCUUGGGUUGUUUUUGUCAUCAUAUAUGUCCUUUAAAGUUUGAAUUUCCUUCUUGUGGGAUUAGAGAACUCAGGACCCCUGACAGAUUACCAUUUUUUCCCACACAAUAAACAUGGGCCCAAGCUUUAGACAGAAGUAGAAGCUCAGACUUUGUGUGUUCAACUUACAUUGCAAGGUAUAUGUUGGGGUUUUUUUUAAUUCCAGUGAAACCCUAGUUCAAGAUGCUUUAUGAAAGGUAGCCACGUUAAAAAUCUGGUCAUGAAAUACACUUGUGGCUAUUGUUUAUUCUUCUUGUCUGGAGAGACAGGAAAAAGUGCUCUCACAGGUAGCAGAGGCUUCUUAUAGAGACCUACAUAUGGAAGCAUCUAUGCACCUUAAACUUCUCCCCGUGGUUCUUCCCCACAAAUAAGAAACUGUAAAUAAUCCUGACUUGUGAAUGUCUCUGUUGUCAUUUCAUUGUCAGGACAGAUUUUGCUUCCUUUUCUAUAGUAUUCUUUUGAGGAAAAGCAAUUAAAAGAACAUUCCCAAAGAUUUAAACCCAAGACAAUUCUUGAUAUUAGUCAAAGACAAAAAACUUAUUAGAUAACAGUUUGACCAACUUACCAUUCUUCUAUGACCUGGAUACUCUCCAGUUUGGUCGUAUGUGUUGGCCUUCCUGCACUGUCUCCUCUAUCUUCAUUCCUAACAGUGAGGCUGCAAUGUAGUACAACACUUUAUUUUGUCUAGAGAAAGUUAAUUUAAAACAAUGACUAUAGUAAGGCAAACUUUUAAAAGACAUAGACCUCUAUAGGGUAUCAUUUUUAACUCUAGUGUCUAAAAUUUUGGAGAAAAGUUUUUAUAAUGACUUUUCCCCUGAAAUAUGAUGAAUAUUAAUUUACAGUUGCUAUUAGGACAUGUAGUGUUUUAGAAGCUCACAGUUUAUUCACUGAAAGAUGGGCAAAUACUUAGAAGUCACUUUUGGAGUGAUUUCGCUUAGCUAACUGAGAAUACUAGCAACAGUAUGAGUAGGGGGAUUAUGAAUAUUUGAACUGGAUGUUGAUGGGGUUUGAUGCCCCACCAGUUCUGGAUAGUUUUUCAGGCAUUAUGAAUGUUCCCUUUUCUCUCUCCAAGAUACAGUGGCAGGAGAUGGCUCAGAUACAGAACUUAGCAUGUGGCAGCUCCUUAUGAUUUCCUCUUCUGACCUAAAUUUGUUUUCCAUUCCAAAAAGUAAGACAUACUGGCCUCUGAGCAGAAAGGCAUCCAUUACCCUCAUAUUACCACAAGCAAGGGAAAGAAAGGCUUCCUUUAUGCAAGGUUGUUUUUAAUGUUUUUUUGCUUCUUUUUAGACCCACUAACUAGAAUCACUUAUUUUUUUGCAAAUAUCUAUUUAAUGAGAUUUGCUAUAGUGGUAAAGACUUCCUCUGUGUGUGUUCUCUGUGAAUCUUCCAGAAUAUGGUAUUUCCAGCAAACCCACAAUUCCUGACAACUACUGAAAUAAUGUUUUCAGUCAUAUUGAUAUUCAUGUGGAAAACGUGGUUCUGAUAAUUAAGCUUAAGAAGUGGAAUGUAGUAAGGAGAUGGAAAUUUCCUUUCACAGGUGUUCUCUAUGUGUUCGGUUGAGAGAAAACAAGCAACCAAGCAAAAAAUUCCCCUUCCAAUCUUGAGAGCUCAUAUUUUGAAUAAUAAGUAUUCACCAUAAAAUGACGGUCUCAGUCACUCUAAGUGUUGCUACAAAAAUAUGUUUGUGGCACAAAGCUUCUCCCUCCCCCACUAAUCUAAAUAACUCCUGCUCAGCUCUAAGAAGAAAUCCCAGCUCUGAGACAUCUUUAGCACAAAUAGUCUUCCUUUAUAGGUUUUCUGCAUUUAUGAGUUUCUUCAACAUUUUUUUCAAGCAUUUGGCAGAGCUAAUAUAUAUUCUCAAAUACUCUUCUGAAAACUGGAAGUUUAAGCUCCCAGGUAAAGCAGAGCACAUAUUAAGACUUAAACAUUACAGAGACGUACACUUGCAAACGAAGCUCUUUGAUACUGGUUGCUCCUUCACUUACCUGCCAAGACCUUAGUUCAGGCCCUUGGUCCUGCUUCCCCUGUUACAGCGUAGGAAUGCAGCUCCAGUGCUGCUAAGGUUGUUAGGGUGUCAUCAACUGCUGCAGGAGAAACAACACAUCCUGAACUCUGGGGUUGGCAGGUAAAAAGCCUUUCUGUCUCCUCUGACCUGUUGUUCAUCAGUCUACAGAGGGAGCACCCAGGAAAGACAGAAAGGAGUUCCAUAUACAGAAGGAGAAAAAAAAAGAGACCAUCCACUUUCUUUCUCUUGUAAUCUUUAAGUCCACACAUGUAACUGCUUAGAGUCACCUAGCAUCUGGCCAGAGCACAAAGUUGGAGUGAGGGAGAAACAGGGAAGGCACAAACCUCUCUCUCCCUCCCUUCCUCCUUCCCUCCUUUGCAGUCCGUAGGUAGAGAAGGAUUUGUCUUCUCUGCUGGGUGCAAAGAGCAGAGUGUCCUUUGGUUCCAUGGAAGAAUAACACCACGGAGGGAGAAAAUAGCUUGUGUAGGUUGCGAAUGCAAUAGGGUGUUCAUUUGAGUCUGCCUAAAAGAAAAUGAAGCUGCCUGUUUUCCUUCCUCCAUCACAUGAGCAGCAACUAAGCUGUGCUGAGAUAAUUUACUUGUCAGGCACUAGACAUUCAAGGUUUGGAUGCAGAGUCUUACUGGAAGUAGAAAGUGACUCAUCUGAGAGCAGUCAGUAUACACUACUAAUUUAAUUUGUUUUCUGGGAUCAAAUACUGUUUGCUUUGCUCAUGCAAAAAUCUCUGCUAGACUUGGGAAAACCAUCAUAGGUUGAUGAAGGGGAAACAAUGAUAGUGAUGUAGUGAGUGGUGAAAAAGAGAAAUAGGAAUAGGAGCAAGAAGGCCAUGUUGACUUCAUUGCAAUAUUUGUUUAUCAAAGGAAUAACUAAUAGACAGUAUGCACUUUUAUUUUCUUUAAAAACCCCCAAAAAACAAAACAAACAAUAAAAAGUUCAGAUUGUGGGCCUGGAACAUAGUAUGCAGUUUUAUGGUAUGUAUACCAUAGUGACAAUGCAUGGUACACACUUGGCCCUGAUUCCUUCAUCUCACCAUUCAUAACUGGAGUUUAAUAGCUGAAGUUAGUCAGGGCUGUAAAACAGAGAACAUUCCAAAGACCGAAGCCUCACAGUGAGUUGGAUCAUGUUUGGGUAUUGCAUUUAAAACUGUGAUACUUUUGUAUUGCAUCUUGGCCUAUAUUUCUGCAUUAUGUUUCCUGUGACACAAGUAGCACUAAAUUUCAACUUUUAUUUAUCUAUAUCUGUCGAGGCUAGAGUUCCAUCAGAUCUGUUACUUUUGAUAUGUUUUUCCUGUGAAUGAAACCAUCAUUUUUAUACUCAAGUACACUCAAAUCAGGUAUGUUCGUUUUCACUCAAGGAACUGGUUCAUGAUCCCUUAGAAAAAGAAUUAAAUAUUUAAGCAUUUUUGGCUGCAAAAUUAGCUUGAAAACAUCCUUUAAGUAACUGAUCACAAUAAGAGAUUGCUACCUUUUAACUUGAAAUGACAACACUGCACUGCUCUUUCCCAUGUUGCUAUAUUAAACUAGAAACAAUCUAUCUGUUCACACUUCUGUGUGGAAUUCAAGCAGUCUGCAGCAGCAAAGGUGUUCUGCGUACCUGGAGAUGAUCUCCUUGAUACAUUAAUCCAGCAUUGAAGCUAGCUGUUUGUGUCAGAAGGAUUUUGCUGUAUAGUGUAAUACUAAAAGACUAAAAGUAACAGGCUAAACAUUAACAAAUUAUUUUAGUUAAGGAUUUUAGAAAAGGAAAUUGCUGAUACACCUUACCAAAAAGUAGUUAAAUGAGAGGGACGUGCACUAGAGAGACAUCUGAUGCAAACUAAUGUCUUUGGUGUUAUUAACAUCUUUGGUAUUAUUAGUUGGAAUACACACCAUCAGAUAUCUUUAAAAUUUAGAGAUGGAAAUUGCUCAACAAAACUACUAAUGCCUUAAAAAGGGAGAGUUUGGGGUGUCUAAAGGCAGAGUUUAAAUGGAAAGCACUAGUUAUGACUGUUCUCUGUUUGUAUGGAAAGUUUGUUCUGCCCACUUCUAUGCUGAUUUUAUUGCUCUGGAGAGUACAGUAAAAAAUACUUCAGUGGUCUGAGCUGGAUGUACCUUUCAAAUAUAUCUUGGGCCCCUGACUGCUACAAAACCAGUAAGUUUCUUGAACUACUGCAACAGUAUUAUGAGUAAUUUCUGCUUGGAGUGAAGGUAUUUAUAUUUUGAAACUUCACAUGCUUUAUAAGUAAAAAAGUUAAUGAUCAGGGGCUGCUUGAAGAAGCAUACAUAUUGAACAAAUGACCACAAAUAAGGGUAAGUGUGUCCAGGUUUCGAGCUGCUAUGUUUUUGGGGGUACUGCUGGGAUUUAGAAAACUGAUCUUUAUUUAUUUAGCUGCUAUUAUUUGGCUGUUAAUAUUCAAGUUAAGCAAUUAAGUAAUUCUUCUGUUGAGUGAUUAUGUAGCUAAAUCAGUAUUGAAGCACCCUAUUGCAUGAGAAGAUAAAAAAGCCAAGUUAAUUGCACAGAAUCAUCAAGAGUUUAAGUAAUUUAAGAGCAAAUAUCUCACUGACAUAGAGAGAUGUUUCCAGCUGAUGGUUUUAGCCUUUUCAUAAGUUGCAUCCCUACUGCUGCACUUUACUUCUACUGCCUUUAAGAAACUGAAGGUAACCUAAAGUUUGGACCUGAUCUUUCAUUCUCUGUAUAUUCAGUAAGUAAAUGGUAUUUAACUGGUCCCCAAAAGUCACAUUCUCAUGUACCAGUAGCCUAAAUCUGGUGUAUCAGUGAAAUUACUGUUUUCACUAUGGCAAGAAAACCAUGCCAUUGUGAGACGUGCCAAGAUUAAUGUUCUGCCCAUGCAUGGCUGAUCAGGUACUAUUUAUUCAGGUAUUUUCUCUGUUAUGUGCCUCAUAUGCAGUAUAUCAUCACAAUAUUUUGUGAUUAUGUCUGGCACUGAAGAUAAUUACGGUGGUAGAUGAAGUAAAAUGACCAUUCCCCAAAAGUCUUGAAAAGCACAAUUUACCACAUUUACCAAAUAGAUUCAGAUAGGAAAUAUAUUUUCUGAUUGGAAGAGGAAAAGCCUUUAAACAAACAAAUUACUGCACAUGAAAACAAAAACGUAUGUGCAUUUUCCUGAAAUGAGGGGAAGGUGGUUUUGAAAACUCUUGGUGUCCAUCUUUGUCUCAAUCUUUUGCCAGCUGGGUAAAUACCUUCAUUCUUCAAUUCAAAAUGGGUGUGCUCCUGCUGAUCUCCCUGGUCUCUGAUUCCUUUCCUUUUAUUACAAGUGUUUAGCUUAAAACAUGCUAUAUGAACAAAUAUUUUUUUUUCCUGGUUUUAUUUCAGAUGCAAAAAAACUGUAUAUCUUUUAAAUUUUUUUUUUGUAUUUCGAUCUGAUCAGACUGUCUUCAACACUGUGGUUCAACAGUUAGUCACUGAAAAAUCAAUUGUUCACACAAUUGUAUUUAGAAGCUCACUCCUAAAUGGUGAGGCAUGCUCUGUUAGAUGUCAGAGAUUGGUGCGGUCCCAAUAUCCCAUAUGCUGUGUGAUAAUGGAAAAGACAACUGUGCUGGGAUUCUUUAAUUUCUUUUAUGAAAUCUGAUUUAACUUAUGACUCAAAAUCAUUUUGUCACCUUGUUUUUUUUCUGACACCUGGAAUAUUUAAGCUUCAUGUCACUGAACACUAGUCAAGACUGUGUUUGUUUAUGAGAUUUAUGAGAUUUAUGAUUUUGUUAUACUUUGCAAAGCAAUAAUAAUGAAAAAAAACUUCAAUUUUAUUGUGAUCCACUAAUAAAGAACAAUACAGCUAUGUUAAUUUCAAAUCACUGUCUUCUAUCUCCCUUUUAAUGUCACGAAAAUAGGAUGAGAAUGAAAUGUUACAUGAACAAUAUUAUCCAAUGAUAGCUUUUUUUUAAGCUGAGGUGAAGGGUAAAAAAUUUGCUUCUAUUAAAGUUAAGGAAUUAAUUCACUUUUUUGUUACAGUAAAUGAAUAAUAUCCAGAGAGAUUCUUCUCAGAAAAACUAGACCUAGAAUCACUAUUUUUAUGAAGAGGUGAUGCCUUGUACCAGACAUUUUCAUGGGCUCAGCAACAGUCAAGCUGUGCUCUGGUGACAGAAAAUCUGUCAUGACAUUAUGGAUCUUCCUCCAGCCAGUGCUCCACAGACACCAAGAUGAACAGCAUUUUGGUGCAGGCAGGUUGUGCAAGAGCUUGUGCUCCAACAGAAAUUUGGAGGUAGAUGGCAAGAGGCUGAGAAGGAGAAAGGAAGAAGAGAAAAGCUGGUGCAUUAAGGGAUUUUUUAGCUGCUUUUUUAUGCUGGGAGGUGAGAUAUACUUGAUUUAUUCAGAAGAGGGCUCCAUAGUGACCAAGGCACGUUCUCAUAACAUUGAAUAGGUUAACUGUGAGCUUCCUUUAGUUGUUUUUACAUUAAUUUUUUGGUUUUUGUUGAUGCUAUUUUGAAAGUCCUUUUGGUUUGCUAAUAACAUCUUGUUUUCCUGCAUUCACAUCUUACUCUCUAGAAGCAGAUGCAGGAAAAAUUAUAGACUAGUAGUUAGGAGCAGUUAUCAUAUCUGUGAGCCUACCUACCUUUACACCUUGUGCCAGAGAAACGUGCCCCCCUCUUUUGAAAAGGCAGCAUUUCACAUCUGCUUCACAGGGAGGUGCAAGAAGUGGUCAAACCUGCCUUUACUUGCCAGCUCUGGAGCUUUGACAUAAGCUGUGUGUUGAAUCCCAUAUGAGGUAAAUUUGUGGCCUGGCUCAAGGAGAGAGCAGGCUUCCAGGAAUUAUUAGGGUAACACUGACAAUCUGGACCAGCGUCACAGAAGGGUGCAAGCCCAGAGGUUGGCAAGUCAGGCAGUGUUGCCCUAGGAGAGUUGUGUAAACCAGCAUGCACAGAGCCACCUGUCUCCAGCAUGCCCUGAAGACCUAAACUUCCAUAAAUUUCCAGCAAAAUCACUUCCCCUGUCUUAAUUGUAAAGGAGAAAGAGCUUAUUAAAUUUCAUACUUAUUAGGAAGACAUGCUUCCCUGCUCUGAUUUUUUUUUUUUUUAAAUUUAGAAAUCAUCAUUUUCUUUUGCUUUAAAGGGAAAAGAAGUGCUUUACUUGGAUAGUAUUUAAUAAGCACUGUUAACAUACAGAAGUAUGGAAAAAACCAACUUGACAAGCUAUUUAUUUUUAGUGUGUAUUCUGAUUAUUUUUACAAAUGCUGAGAAUUUAAUACUUUUAUUUUAAGUGUCUCAAGGCACCUCGAGAGGCCCAAUUCUGAGGACUAGAUAUUUAAAUCCUCAGUCCACAUUCACCCCAUGGUGCAUUCCAUCAACAAUAGGAAUGUCUGCCAGCUUUCUCUCAUGGGUUCAGCACUGAGGAUAUGUAGAUUUAAAGACAAGGUGAUUUAAGACUGAUUUUCAUUAAUAUCAUGUUCAGUAGCUUGUGUGACAAGACAGAUGAUGGAUUUUAUCCAGCUGUAAAUACUACUCAUCAAAGAACUGGGGCGACUUUCCUAAGAAAGCACCAGUACUGCCCAUUGCACUCUGAUAAUCAGAUGAUACUGUCCCAUAGUUGCACAAAGCACAAGUUCCUAAGCCUUCUCUCCCUCAGAAUAAAUUAUUCUCCAGGAAAGAGAUGGAAUGUUUUCAUCUUUGACCUCUGCAAUAGCAAGUGGUAAAAAUGUAACAGUGUUCUGUGUUAUUUUAAAGUAUAAAAAGGCUCAAAUUGGAACAUCUUUUCCUAUUAAAUAUUUUUAAAAAUAUCACCUUCUAUUUCAGUAAAAUAGAGUACAGUAACCUGCACUUCUGUAUCCUGCACUAGAGUAAAAAAAAUUCCUGAUGUACUUUUCCAUAUCCAUAUUCACUUUUUACAGAUGUGAUGUUUUGAAAAGGUAAAACACAGAGAAUUGAGUUUCAGAUGUGUUGUCCUAUGUGCUCAGGGAGGAAAAGAAGAAUUAGAAACAAAAUUAAAAACCAAAAUACAUGUUUCAAAAUCAGUGCUUUUGUUUCAAAGAUAAAGAUUUUCUUUUCUUCCGGAAGCUUUACAAAAUCCUGGAGCCUGGGUGACUGUUUUGUACCAGUCCACCUCUACUCUGCUCCUAGUCCAAAAGUUCUGCUGCAGACAGGCAUGGGAAAUAGGAUAUGGGUUUUGUUUUCAACAUACUUAUGAACAUGUGGCUAUAACAUAUUGCAUUAAAUUUUUUUGUUUCCAUCAUUUCUUUGCUUCUCUGUCCUUCAAACUUUCUACCACAGGUAAAUGAAGUAAAGGAGCCAUGUCUGUAGCCCCCAGAAAUAAUCUUGUAUAGACUCAUGCAAAGCCUUGAUACAAUUUUUUGAUAAGAAACUAAGAUUGAAUAUGCCAAGAAAGUGUUAUUCUUCUCACAGUACUAUAGAGGUGGGAAGUACAAAAAGAAAAAAAAAGAAAAAAAGUGGGGGUUUUUUGGUUUCUUUUUUUUUUUUUCAUUUAGAGCACUCUGAACCCCAUAGACAACCAGUAUUAAUGCAAUUUAAAAUUGUUCUUAGAACUGUGUCUGCCAUUUCAUAUAUAUGGCACAAGUGACAGAAAUAUUUUAUUGUAGGCCUGAGUAAACUGUGAAACUCUUGCAAGGAAAAUGUUCCCUUUAAUAAAGAAAAAUAUUUGUGUAACAACAUCAUCAAGAAGAAAUUUCAGAGUAACUAACAGCAGUCAUAGGCAAGUUAUAAGAACUGAGGAGGCUUCUUGCCAAGAGCAACUCUUGUUUAUUGCCAAGAUGGCAAAUAUCCUAUCUUCCCUGGGAUCUUAUGUGUGUGGGAAACUCUCUUCCAUAAGUCUUCAGCAGUUUUAAUGGUUAUAUUUCUGAGUAAAGGCAUUUCAGCUCACUCACUUCAAUUGAGCUACAGGUGAAGCUAAGUGAUCUUCUUCACUUAUCGCCUGGAAGCCUUUUCACAUCCCCCAGACUGCCAUACUGCUAAGGUCUCUUGUGGGGUAGAUGUCAGACCCCUUCUCAGCCUUCUGUGUACAGUAAAAGGAGACAGAUUAUUGGGCAUCAGUGUCCCACAGUUUUCAAAUUCACUGAGCACCUUAUGAAAGAGGGAAUAAAAAGUUAUGACUCCUGCUCUGGGUAGGAGACAAAGGAGAAAGCAAAGUAAAACUGGCAGAAAAGCCAACCUCCCUAUGCUAGUGCCUGAAGAGUUUUUUUGAAGGAUGUAAUUUACAAGUGCUUGCAAGAAAACAAUUAGUUUUAUGUCUGCUCAGGAAACUGGAGUAAUGGAUUUCUAAAUAAGGUUGGGGAGGAGAAAUAGUAGGCUUACUCCUCUAACCUUGUCAAACUGAACUCAAAACUAUAAAGUCACAGCUCUAAGUACUAAAUGGGUGACUCUCUGGAGAAAGCGUAAUUGAGGAAAAUAUAGAAUGUCAUGUUAGAAGACACUGCAAAUUUUGCAAGUCUCAGGCUGCCCAAGUAAUUGAAAUGAUGCCUCAUAAAGAAGCACAUUCUUCUGUCCUCUAUUGAAAUGGAGCUCUGCAGAAGCUUAAGACAUGGGGUGAUUCAGUCCAGGACAAUAAGUACAUGACUGGUACUUGUCUGUUAGCUACUUUAAUUAGGCAGUCUUCCUGAAAUGAGCGCCUAAGGUCUAUGUCUGGUCAGUGAAGAGAGGUAGGUCUAUAAAAGGUAUUCACAGGGAUGUAUCAUCUGCUUCUGCUGUAAGGGGACAAGCGUUUCCUGUUGGGAGGUUCAGAAGAGCUUUAUUUUUUUCCACUGACAAGGACGAGUGUUUCCUUGACUGCUUGUACUCAGAAACAAGUCCAGAGCUUAAACUAGUCAGGGCAACGUCAUGAACAUACUUAUUCAAGUAAAAUAGCCAUUUUAAUAGUCCUGUUAAUCUCCAUUCUGUUUUAAUCUGAGCAAACCUUGGUAAUGAGUCUUGCUUUGUCCCUGUAAACUGAGCAAUUUACUGUCCUGAUGAUUAUCAGUGCCAAUAGGUGUACUGAGUGGCUGGGAUGGAGUUAAUUUUCUUCACAGGGAUCCUUAUAGCGCUAUGUUAUGGAUUUUUGACCAAAGCAGUGUUGAUAACAUAUUAAUGUUAUAGCUGCUGCUGAGCACUGAACAGCAUCAAGGAUUUCUCUGUUUCUCACAUUGCUUUGACAGUGGGCUUGUCCCUGGCUGGGGAUGCAUAAGAAGCUGUGAGGAGACACAGCUGGGACAGCUGACCACAACUGGCCAAAGGGAUAUUCCAUAUCAUAUGACAUUGGGAUCAGCAAUAAAAGCUGAGGAAGAAAAAGGAAGGAUGGAGGUUGAGAGUUGUAGCAUCUGUUUCCUCAAGUCACUGUAACAUGUGAAGGACCAUGCUUUCCACGACAUGGCUGAACUGAUGGGAAGCUGUGAAUGAAUUUUUUGUUUUGUUUUACUUGUGCACACAGCUUUGCUUUAUCAACUAAACUCUUUAUCUCAAUGGAAGAGUUUGAUGGGAAGCUGUGAAUGAAUUUUUUGUUUUGCUUUACUUGUGCACACAGCUUUGCUUUAUCAAUUAAACUCUUUAUCUCAAUGGAAGAGUUUUGUCACUUUCUGAUCACUUUCACUUUUCUGAUUCUCUUUGUCCUGCUGCUGAAGAGUGAUUAAGCAUCUGCCUGGGGCUGAAGUACCGACAAGGAUUAUUUCAUAACAGUAGAGAAGUUCUUCAAAUAGUUGUUAUCUUUAAGAAAGAUAUAUUAGAGAAAAAUAAUUUAAAAGAGGGUUUUAAUAAGAUGUACCAAAUAAUUUAUCUAAUUUUUUGCUCUUGACAAGUGUCUAUCAGGCAAGAUAGCAUUUCCCCAAGCAAAGGUGUGAAUAUUUGCCUAUGCUGUUGUGCAAACAGAAGACUUAAUGACUAUUCUGAUUUUAACAUGGGGUAGAACAGAAGAAAAAAAGUACCACAUGAUUCACAAAAGAUAUUUUCAGAAUUAUCAAGAUUUAUUUGGAUGCACAAACUACUGAACUAGCUCUUUGAACAGCAAGAAGGGAACAUUUUUUAAUAAAAUCUGCACAUACUCCUCCCACUUCUGUGAAUAGUGAAGAAGUUGAAGCAAUAAGCGUUUAGUGAUGUAAGAACUAUCAUCUGUCACAUAUAGGUGGAAAAACAGAAGAAAAUUCUAAUCUUGAUAGAACAUUGUCUUCCCCAUUAAUGAAUCAAGCAACAUUUCCAGACAGGUAUCUCUUGAGAAAUUAAUGUUACUCAAAUACAAAGACCUGUGAAACUAGGGAAAGCAGGUAAUUACAUUAGGUCCAGAGAACCUGUUACAACUGUUGAUUAGGCUUUUCUAUUACAGAGAACUACCCUAGAGAAUUAAUUAGCUAGAAUCCCCUAUAUAUGAGAGAAUAAUAAAGUUAGUUACUUUUUAAAAGUUAUUAUUAAAUUGGGCAUCACAAUCAGUUACUUAAUUUUAACUGAGUUUCUGAAACAUUUCAUACUACAUUUUUCAAGGUUUUGUCCCAUCUUUCCUCUAAUGGAAUUUCUAUUACAGGAUCUCAGAAGUUAAAGCUAGAAAAUACUUAUUACAUCGCCUUUUCUGUCUUUUUGAUUUUAGCAAACAUGAGUGAUGUAACUGUUCCUUUGAUCACUUAUUUGACUUAAUCUUGAAAACUAGAUAACAGGACUUCUCCAUGCUCUGUCUAAUCUACUUUGCAAAGAAAAAUCCCAACCUCAAGCCCUGAAAAACCCUGAAAGACAGUAAAAACAAUUAAUAGAGCAGCUGAAGGUUCAUCCUAUGUUUUAAAUCAAUAAUUACUCUAAUUUAAGUUUAAUGUGCAUAAGCUGUUUACAUAGAUAAUGGUAUUGCCUUCUAAGGACUGGAGGCACUCCAAGGGUCACAACAGCUUCAAACUAGAGUAUAAUUUAUAAAUUUAAGUUUUCUUGAGUAGCAACAUGCUUAAAAAAUGAAAUCAGUGGUCAUUAAGUUUUAGAAAUUAGAUGGAUAUUUUAUUGAAUACUAUUGAUAUUAUAUUAACACUAUUGAUAUUAUAUGAAUAUCAUUGAUAUUAUAUGAAUAUUAUUUAUAUUCUAACAUGCAAGGUAAAAGCCAACCCUAGCUGCACAUGGACAAUGGUGGGCUUUAUUUUCAUUCAGGAAAGAGAUGUUGUAUUCAGGAUGGAUAAUUCCAUGAAAACAUCAUCUCUGGGGCUGUUAAAAAAUAAGCAGAGUGCUAGGAAUUAGUAACAAAACUCAGGAGCAAACACAAAACAUGGUGCACCCAUGUCUCAACAAAAAAGAUCUAGUCACACAUCUCAGACAGGAAAUAGUAGAAAGGUACAUAGAGAGACACAAGGUAAAUAGGACAGAUAAGGAUAAAUCAUGGUCUGGGUCAGUUUCUGUAUCACAGAGAUUAAAAUAGAGAAGACUGUGGAAGGCAAAACAGGUGAAGGGAGAUAUGAGAGAGCUCUGUAAAGUCUUGACCAUCCUGGGAAUGAUUAGUCACUGUUCUUCACAUAAGAACAAGGAAGAAUCAAAUGAAAUUAAUUUCUAGUAGGUUAACACAAAUAAAAGGGAGUACACAGGCCCAUGGUAGAAUUCAUUGCUAGAGGAAACCCUGGGUGACAAAACUUUAGAUGAGUUUAGGAAGUCACUUCAGAAAAUGGUUUGCCAGAAAUUAAGGAAAGAAAAUUCCACCAAGGUCUAUAAACAACACAAAAAGCAACUCUGGGCCAGGAAAUCCCUAAGUUGCAGAUUGAUAGUAGUUGUGAGGUGUUUUACUGUGGGUAGUUUGAGGAGAUCUACUUGUUUUUUCCUUAUCUUGUGGUAUCUGAUAAAAGGCACUUCCUGAAACAGGAUACUGAAGUAAAUGAAUCUCUGGACUGUAACAGCAUAGCUGAUAUUGUGCCCUUGUCCCAGAGCAGAAAGAAAAAUGACAGAACACCCUCUCUACUUCCUGUUUAAUACACUUCCACCUAUUUCUCAAUAUGAUUGAACAUCACAAAGUUACAAAGUUACUUGGUAAAACAUGAGCUCUGGCUCAUCCUUGCUCCAAAUACACUCUGCCUUCAGGUGAAACUGGAAAUAUCAGCCAAGGCAGGCCCACCCCACCACUGCCUCCAGGAUGUGGCAGUAUCUUGGAAAAAAAAACUAUCCCUAGUGCAUAUAUACUGGUAUGUAUUUUUAAAUAUACUGGAGCAAAUAGCCUCUGGUUUUAGACUGGUGCCAGAUGGGUGAUUGAAGUGAAAAUAACACAGAUACACAGAGGAAUGGUGACUUCAAAAAACCUGAACUGUCUGGUUAAUAUGAUGCACAGGCUCUGAACAGUACUGCAUGUCAUUUACCUUAUAUUUCAAUACUAUGUUCAUAAAAAUAAAAAAUAAAGAUCUGAUGCAUCUCAAGACACUGAGAAUUUAAAGCUAUUUUUGAAACUGACUUUAAAUCUUUGACUUUACAAGUCAAUACUUUGUUGAGGAAGGGACAAGCAGCCGCUAAAAUUAUGCCACUCCAUUUAAAAGUGGAAUUUAAGGCUCAUGCUUUCAGAUUUACAGAAUUUCUAUUAUUAUUUAUAUUACCUCUUAUAUUAGUAAUAACAUGUUCACAUUUAUGACCAUCUCCCUUUUAUUCUCCUGAAUGCAGAGAACUGCACUAUCAAAAAUACAAACAGGAAAAAAAAAUGUUUUGAAUGCAAGCUAUAAAAUAUCAAUUAUUGAGUCUCUCACUCACAAAUACAAGUUUUACAGCUGAAAUUUUCUCAUUUAGUCAUGGCUUAAGUAGGAUAAAUAUAGCUUGAAUUUACUAUUCUUUCUUUUUCCCCAUCACAAGCUGUCCAACCAAAUCAGGGAAUAUUUAAAUCAAGUUUUUAAGUGAAAAGUUAAAUUGUGUCUCCUCUCCCAGAAGUCAACAUAUUCCCAGUGCUUUCCAUUCUCAUUGUUUACCUGUGGUGGAUAUGGAAGCAAAUAUACUACAGAACAUACCAUGAAC